GAUGAACGCUGGCGGCGUGCUUAACACAUGCAAGUCGAACGGAAAGGCCCAAGCUUGCUUGGGUACUCGAGUGGCGAACGGGUGGGUAACACGUGGGUGAUCUGCCCUGCACUUCGGGAUAAGCCUGGGAAACUGGGUCUAAUACCGGAUAGGACCACAUUUUGGAUGGUGUGGUGGAAAGUUUUUCGGUGUGGGAUGAGCUCGCGGCCUAUCAGCUUGUUGGUGGGGUAAUGGCCUACCAAGGCGUCGACGGGUAGCCGGCCUGAGAGGGUGUACGGCCACAUUGGGACUGAGAUACGGCCCAGACUCCUACGGGAGGCAGCAAUGGGGAAUAUUGCACAAUGGGCGCAAGCCUGAUGCAGCGACGCCGCGUGGGGGAUGACGGCCUUCGGGUUGUAAACUCCUUUCGCUAGGGACGAAGCGUUUUUGUGACGGUACCUGGAGAAGAAGCACCGGCUAACUACGUG
rnacentral:rRNA from 1 species